UGAGGACACAGGGGUCCAGAGAGGCUGAGACUUGCCUGGGGCCACACAGCAAGUCAGGCAUGGGGAUAGCAAGGACACCAGGCAGCUUGCCCUGCGGCCCAAACCCUCGUCUUUGUCCAGCCACUAGAGGAACGAGGAUAAAGAUGGUGAAAAAUGGGGACUCAGGCCUCGGGGAGCUGUGUCUCUGCUCAGCGGAGCAGGAAGGGAUGGUCCUGAGGGGAACUCACAGAGCAACUGGCUCCCCCACCUUGUCCUGCUGCCGGGUGUCCUGGGACAAGGCUACCACCCAGCGGCCACCCAGCCAGGAUCCAGCCCAGUUUGGAGACAGGCAGGACAAGAGCGUCAGGUGCCAGUUGUGUCGAGGAGAGACCCUGUGAGAGAGGCUGUGGGAAAAGCACAGUGCCUGGCACAAAGGGAGAGGUCUGAGUAAAAGUCAAGGUGGCUUCCUGGAGGAGGCCACUGUGCUCUCCGGCGGCAGGAGAAGCAGGAAUAGAAGGAGUUUCCGGAAAAGGAAGAGGGAGAAGCUGUGUUCAGCGCCUGCGCCGUGUGUGGAGUGCAAACUGUCUGCAGGAGCCGAAUCAUUGAAUCUUCCAGCAAUCCUGUACUCCAGCCAUCCCCAUUUUACAGAUGAGAAAACUGAGGCUGGGGGUGGAAAUAAUUUAUUCACUCAGGGAGUAAAAGCUGGAGCCAGAAUUUAAACCCAGCUGGCAAUGAUGCCCCCCUUCCCUCCCUCCUCGGGUCUUUACGGCAUCCUCAUGGUGUGCUGGAUUCACAGAGGGCAUUCCAGCUCGGACCUGCUCCAAGGCCAGGAGCGCAGAACACCAGCAGAGGUGGGAGACCAGACUGGG
rnacentral:lncRNA from 1 species